UUCGGCUUAACCGGAGAAGUGCAUCGGAAACUGGAUAACUUGAGUGCAGAAGAGGGUAGUGGAACUCCAUGUGUAGCGGUGGAAUGCGUAGAUAUAUGGAAGAACACCAGUGGCGAAGGCGGCUACCUGGUCUGCAACUGACGCUGAGACUCGAAAGCAUGGGUAGCGAACAGGAUUAGAUACCCUGGUAGUCCAUGCCGUAAACGAUGAGUGCUAGGUGUUGGAGGGUUUCCGCCCUUCAGUGCCGGAGCUAACGCAUUAAGCACUCCGCCUGGGGAGUACGACCGCAAGGUUGAAACUCAAAGGAAUUGACGGGGGCCCGCACAAGCGGUGGAGCAUGUGGUUUAAUUCGAAGCUACGCGAAGAACCUUACCAGGUCUUGACAUCUUGCGCCAACCCUAGAGAUAGGGCGUUUCCUUCGGGAACGCAAUGACAGGUGGUGCAUGGUCGUCGUCAGCUCGUGUCGUGAGAUGUUGGGUUAAGUCCCGCAACGAGCGCAACCCUUGUUACUAGUUGCCAGCAUUAAGUUGGGCACUCUAGUGAGACUGCCGGUGACAAACCGGAGGAAGGUGGGGACGACGUCAGAUCAUCAUGCCCCUUAUGACCUGGGCUACACACGUGCUACAAUGGACGGUACAACGAGUCGCGAACUCGCGAGGGCAAGCAAAUCUCUUAAAACCGUUCUCAGUUCGGACUGCAGGCUGCAACUCGCCUGCACGAAGUCGGAAUCGCUAGUAAUCGCGGAUCAGCAUGCCGCGGUGAAUACGUUCCCGGGCCUUGUACACACCGCCCGUCACACCAUGAGAGUUUGUAACACCCAAAGUCGGUGGGGUAACCU
rnacentral:rRNA from 2 species